UACGGAGGAUCCAAGCGUUAUCCGGAAUCAUUGGGUUUAAAGGGUCCGUAGGCGGUUUGGUAAGUCAGUGGUGAAAGCCCAUCGCUCAACGGUGGAACGGCCAUUGAUACUGCCAGACUUGAAUUAUUAGGAAGUAACUAGAAUAUGUAGUGUAGCGGUGAAAUGCUUAGAGAUUACAUGGAAUACCAAUUGCGAAGGCAGGUUACUACUAAUGGAUUGACGCUGAUGGACGAAAGCGGGGGUAGCGAACAGG
rnacentral:rRNA from 1 species